UACGUAGGGGGCUAGCGUUGUCCGGAAUCAUUGGGCGUAAAGAGCGCGUAGGCGGCCAGAUAAGUCCGAUGUGAAAUCCCCGGGCUCAACCUGGGAACUGCGUUGGAAACUACGAGGCUGGAGUACGGCAGAGGGGGGUGGAAUUCCACGGUGUAGCAGUGAAAUGCGUAGAUAUGAUGGAGGAACACCGAUGGCGAAGGCAGCCCCCUGGGCUAGUACUGACGCUCAUGCACGAAAGCGUGGGGAGCAAACAGGA
rnacentral:rRNA from 1 species